UAAAAAAUAAAAACAUUCCCCAUCAACCCAGAUCCCCACUCCCUAUUCCUCUUCCUCUUCUCUAUCCCUUCAAACCUUACAAGUAACAAGAUGUAGAAAGCCCACCACCAAUAACAACCCCAUAACCUUAUCUCCAGUUCCCUUCCACAACCCUCCUCUUCCAAGGAGAGCGCAACGCCCCCUCUAUCGCACCACCCUCAACCACCAAAACCCUACCGAACCUUCCUCCAUCACAAAUGAGAAUGAUGGGUUGGGUGGCAAAUCAACAAAGCAGAAGGUGGAAGAUGAAUUCUCGAGUGUUGAGAGUAGCUUUUCUGUGUUGCAUGUGCUUGAUCUUCUUCACUCCCACAAUUCGUUGCUCACCCAAUCACCACCAGUUCGUUGACAAUCGCAAUCUUCUCAGUAAUCAUUCGUACUCACAUUUUCACCAUCGAUUAGCAUCGCAGCGGAAAGGACCAGCCAUACCCCUCAAAGCCUAUCCGAUCGGUUACGAUUUCCCCAUCAUCUCUCUUUGUCUGUCACUAUAUCACUAUUUUUCGGAUUGUUCGAAGGUGGGGGCUGUGUGGGUGGGGGAAAGGGUUGGGUAACUAGGUGUGGUGCCCGGUGGUGGUUGGCGAAGGUGGUGUGACGCAGUGCUGAUGGCAUUCGGUUUCAUGACAGAGGCGAGAGCCAAAAGGUUUAGGUUGCAGUGAGUGGAUUCUCCGACUUCUUAUCUGCUUCAUCUUAUUUCUUUAUCUAGGGUUUCUUGUAGAUUACAAUGUCUGUUACUGUCUUCUGCCAUUACAUACGAAAAAAUGAGCUUUGGCUUGUGUAUGCUAUUUGUUGGCUUGAAAUUGCUAUUAAGCAAUGUAGGAUGUUCCAUUCUACAACACUUUUCUAAAAUUAAGCAAUGUUGGAUGUCUUAUUCUACAAUGCUUCUUCAAAAAUUAUGUUAUAAUAUAUUUGUUGAUUAGCA